GACGGAGGGUGCUAGCGUUGUUCGGAAUUACUGGGCGUAAAGGGCGCGUAGGCGGCCGUUUGCGUCGGAUGUGAAAGCCCGGGGCUCAACCCCGGAACGGCAUCCGAUACGGGACGGCUGGAGACCGGGAGAGGAGGGUGGAAUAGCCAGUGUAGAGGUGAGAUUCGUAGAUAUUGGCUGGAACACCGGUGGCGAAAGCGGCUCUCUGGCCCGGUUCUGACGCUGAGGCGCGAAAGCGUGGGGAGCAAACAGG
rnacentral:rRNA from 1 species